rnacentral:sRNA from 1 species
UAAAACAAAUUUUUAAUAAAUUUUUUAAACUAUUAAAAUUUUUACUUAUGAUUUUUUUAAAAAAUAGAUUUUUUUUUUUUUUAAUAAAAAAAUUUAUAUUAUUAUUAAUAUAUUUAUUUAUAAAUAUAUAUAUAUAUAUAUAUAUAAAUUUUUAUAUUAUUAUAAAAAUUAUAUAUAAUUAUAAAUUUUUUAUAAUUUCUUUCAAACUUUUUUCUAAUAAUUAUUUUUUAAUUAAAUUUGCUAUUAGAAUUUAUAUAAUUAAAAAAUUAUAUUAAAUUAUUAAGAUUAUAUAUAAAUAUAAAUUUUUAUAUUAAUAAUAAUAAUAAUAAUAUACAUAUAUAUAUAUAUAAAUUUUUAUAUUAUUAUAAAAAUUAUAUAUAAUUAUAAAUUUUUUAUAAUUUCUUUCAAACUUUUUUCUAAUAAUUAUUUUUUAAUUAAAUUUGCUAUUAGAAUUUAUAUAAUUAAAAAAUUAUAUUAAAUUAUUAAAAUUAUAUAUAAAUAUAAAUUUUUAUAUUAAUAUGAAAAUUAUAUAUAAUUAUAAAUUUUUUAAUUUUAUUAUUUAUUAAUUAAUUUAAUUUAAGUUUUUAUAAAACCGUAGUUUUAUUUUUUUUAUUAAAUAAAUAAAUAAAAAAUUAUAAUAAAAAACUUUUUUUUUAUUUAUUUUAAAAUAAAAUAGUUUUAACCUAUUUAUUAACCAUAAUUUUAUUUUUUUACAUAAAAUAAUUUUCAAACACA